GUCCCUUGAGGACAUCCGAUAAAAUUAGAAUGAUACAAAGAAGAUUAGCAUGACCCUUGCACAAGGAUGAAAACCCACAAAAUGAGAACACUCUACGUUUUU